CCUAUGUUUUGGACACUUUCCUGGCAAGGAGGCCCAUGCAGGAUGUUGCCCCUUCCCACAACUUUCCUCCAAAGGCACAGUGGGACACCUGCCCUUUCGUCCUCCAUCAUCAUUACCAGCCUCCCCAACCUAGAGAGGAUCCUGAUUUUCCUGUCACCGCAGGACCCAACCACAGAGGUGCUUCAAAGCUCUUGCUUUGGUCUGAUGCUGCAUCCGACCCAGUUCCAGGGAGAGGCUCAGAGCUGAGUGGCCAGCUGUACCUACUGUGUUUAAAGCCCAGUGGAGGAGAGAACAAAAUGAGAUUGAUAACUGACUUAAAAGGAAGUGUCUGCACGCCUUUCCUCAGCUGAGCAUCUUCUGGAAAACU
rnacentral:lncRNA from 1 species